rnacentral:tRNA from 1 species
GGCGGCAUAGCCAAGUGGUAAGGCAGAGGAUUGCAAAUCCUUUAUGCCCCAGUUCGAAUCUGGGUGCCGCCU